GUCAAUGGAUUUCUGACACGUUAUUGUUGUAUUUUAAAUUGCAGAAACUGAAUGACAUGAUCACGGCUCAGCCUUUAGCUGACUCUGAAGCGAGCCAGAGAUCCACCUCAUCCUUCCAACAGAAACUGAGUGACAUGAUCCCGGCUCAGCCUUUAGCUGACUCUGAAAGGAGCCAGAGAUACACCUCAUCCUUCCAACAGAAACUGAGUGACAUGAUCACGGCUCAGCCUUUAGCUGACUCUGAAGCGAGCCAGAGAUACACCUCAUCCUUCCAACAGAUUCACAGAAGAACACAACACAACACUUCACUUCAAUAAAGCUUCCUCAAAGUGCUCCAAUGGAAUGCAAGCUGGGAAGAUGAAAGCAAGUGGACAGGUGACGAAGUGAAGGCUACUGAGCGGCAUUUGUAUCCUUAACAAGCUGCAGAGUACCAGGUAAAAAGGACUGUGACUCCUGUCUCAAGGCAGAGCCAGUUGCUCUGAAAGACAGGGACUGGGUUGCCAUCAAAUAUUACAUUCACAACAGAAUCAUGGCAUUAAAAAGGAAGAUGAAUACAUAGGACUAGAACAUGCCAACUUGGUCUGAGGUACAAUUUUACUUUAAAAUAAUAGUUGUUUCUUCAUUCUCUGCAGUUUUAUUGGUAGGGAUUUAAUAAUCAGCCUAACCUCAGACAUCUUGUGUUAAUGUGUGUACUUGGCUUGGUUUUGAUAUUAUCUUGUUUUCCUUGAAUUAUUUAAUUAGUUUUGUUCUUGUACAAGCAUGUCACAUAAGCUUGACUGUAGCUGCCAAAUGUUAAUAUGUUGACAUGUAUCCAUGAGGGAUUUAAUGUGUUUUCCAACCCCCCUCUCGUGGUCACUUUCAGCCAACAGAAAUUGUGUUUUUGACGAUUAUUUACAGUUAUGCCAUCAUUUCUUUCAUAAAUAAGGUUUGAGAUGAUAGGUUAAUACUAUGUUCUGUCUCAACAAAUAAUAUAACUAGUACUUCAAAAGAUUGUUACUUCCAUCAUUAUUUCCCAAGUUUUCACCAUUGAUUUGUUCUUGCCCACAAGUUGUUUGAUGUGGUCUUUCAACUAUUAAGAAAUUAUUUGGAGUGGGGGCUACUUGUAACAUGUCUCAUUUAUGGUAACUUUGGUAAACUAUAUUAAACGUUGUAAGUUAUUUAGACUGGUUAACUAAACAUAGUGUACACUUGUCAUGUUUCGUGCUUUUUACAAGAAAAACACUAAAGAGAAAGUUGCUCAUAACUUUCAAACAUGCCAUAUCUACUUCACUGCCUCACACAAUGGAGGAUAGGGGCUAAAGUUUCUGGGUUGUGGGUGGUCUAUUCUGGGUGUAAAAAAUGGUUAUUUUACAAUUUAUAUGACCAAAUAAUUGGUUGUUAGGUUCUAAGUCGACAAACAAUGUUUUUAAGUUGUUGCUAUUAGUCUUUCUCAUAACAGGCAAAUGAUGAACCCAACUCUGGCAACAAUAAUACUCAGACAUGUUUUUUAGUUAAAAAGCACUGCAUUUUGGAAAGUUGACAUAAUCCUGUGACUUUUAGUUGACUAAGAAUUAUUUAAUCAAAGGCAGCGCCUGUCACCAUGGUUCCAUCUUUAUGCAACAUGAAUCAAGCAUAAUAGAAUACAUUUGAUUUAUAUAGCACACUUUAAAGACAACGUCAUCUCAAUGUGCUUAUAGAGUAUAUCCUUAUAUACAAUAUCCUUAUUGUUAGGUAAAGGAAUAGUCAUGAGGGCACCCUCUUUUAAUUUCAUAUUUGCUCCUAUUCUGGUUUAUACUUCAAUUUAUAUAUUUUGCCAGCAAUUCAUUAAAUGUAGAAACAAAUAAAGUGUUUCAUCCUUUUUUUCACAUAAACGUUUAUUAGAGAAUUUGUAACUUGAAAAAUAUUAAGACUUUAAGAGUAAACUGACCACAAUUAAAUGCUAUAUACCUUUUUAACUUAGCUUUUUUAUGUUUCUGGACUGCUCAGUUUUAAUAUGUUGUAUCAACAAGUUAAUAUGAAUAGACUUUUUGUGUCAGAGGUUACCUGACUGGCGAACAUGAGUAAUUAUUUAAUGUUGAAGUUUUAGUUUUUUAAUGUACACCGAUCCUUCUUAUGCAGAUAUUUCAAUCAUAAGUAAUAAAGGCAUAGUUGCAAAUACAGACUCUAUUUUGUGUAUUACUGGGUCUCCAUAAGUCCCUUAAACUUGAAAAUGUAGUGUGUAUCUAUGGGGUCACAAUUCAUAUAAACAUGAAAUAUCAGUGUGUGUUGCUAAGGGGCUCAUAAGUCACAUAAACCUGUUCAUGUCCUCAGAAGUAGUAUUAAAAUCAGGUUUCCGCAAAAUAUAGCAUUAAACAAAAUCUCAAUAGAUGGAUGUCUUCCAGGAAGCAUGGAUAUGAAAUGCUGUGAUUCCCAGGUCCCUAGGACCUUUGGAAAGGCAUGUCCCAAUUUGUCACGUUUUUUUCACACGUCCUGAUAUAUCCUAUAAACACGUAUGUGUGUGUGUGUGUGUGUGUGUGUGUGUGUGUGUGUG